UACGUAGGGUGCGAGCGUUAAUCGGAAUUACUGGGCGUAAAGUGUGCGCAGGCGGCCGCGCAAGUCGAGUGUGAAAGCCCCGGGCUUAACUUGGGAAUUGCGCUCGAAACUACGUGGCUGGAGUGUGGCAGAGGAAGGUGGAAUUCCACGUGUAGCGGUGAAAUGCGUAGAGAAUGUGGAGGAACACCAAUGGCGAAGGCAGGCCGAUUCUAGGGCC
rnacentral:rRNA from 1 species